AGAGUUUGAUCAUGGCUCAGAUUGAACGCUGGCGGCAGGCUUAACACAUGCAAGUCGAACGGUAACAGGAAGGAAGCUUGCUUUCUUUGCUGACGAGUGGCGGACGGGUGAGUAAUGCUUGGGAAUCUGGCUUAUGGAGGGGGAUAACUACGGGAAACUGUAGCUAAUACCGCGUAAUAUCCUCGGAUUAAAGGGUGGGACCGUAAGGCCACCUGCCAUAAGAUGAGCCCAAGUGGGAUUAGGUAGUUGGUGGGGUAAAGGCCUACCAAGCCGACGAUCUCUAGCUGGUCUGAGAGGAUGACCAGCCACACUGGAACUGAGACACGGUCCAGACUCCUACGGGAGGCAGCAGUGGGGAAUAUUGCACAAUGGGGGGAACCCUGAUGCAGCCAUGCCGCGUGAAUGAAGAAGGCCUUCGGGUUGUAAAGUUCUUUCGGUGAUGAGGAAGGCAGGUAAGUUAAUAGCUUACUUGAUUGACGUUAGUCACAGAAGAAGCACCGGCUAACUCCGUGCCAGCAGCCGCGGUAAUACGGAGGGUGCGAGCGUUAAUCGGAAUGACUGGGCGUAAAGGGCACGCAGGCGGUGACUUAAGUGAGAUGUGAAAGCCCCGGGCUUAACCUGGGAAUUGCAUUUCAUACUGGGUCGCUAGAGUAUUUUAGGGAGGGGUAGAAUUCCACGUGUAGCGGUGAAAUGCGUAGAGAUGUGGAGGAAUACCGAAGGCGAAGGCAGCCCCUUGGGAAUAUACUGACGCUCAUGUGCGAAAGCGUGGGGAGCAAACAGGAUUAGAUACCCUGGUAGUCCACGCUGUAAACGCUGUCGAUUUGGGGAUUGGGCUUUGAGCUUGGUGCCCGUAGCU
rnacentral:rRNA from 1 species